rnacentral:tRNA from 1 species
CCCAUCAUGGGGCUUGAAUCCACAUCCACAAGGUUAAAAGCCUUGUGCUUUACCAACUAAGCAGUGG